rnacentral:rRNA from 1 species
ACGGUACCUAACGAGAAAGCCACGGCUAACUACGUGCCAGCAGCCGCGGUAAUACGUAGGUGGCAAGCGUUGUCCGGAAUUAUUGGGCGUAAAGCGCGCGCAGGCGGUUCCUUAAGUCUGAUGUGAAAGCCCACGGCUCAACCGUGGAGGGUCAUUGGAAACUGGGGGACUUGAGUGCAGAAGAGGAGAGCGGAAUUCCACGUGUAGCGGUGAAAUGCGUAGAUAUGUGGAGGAAUACCGGUGGCGAAGGCGGCCUCCUGGCUCGACACUGACGCUGAGGUGCGAAAGCGUGGGGAGCGAACAGGAUUAGAUACCCUGGUAGUCCACGCCGUAAACGAUGAGUGCUAAGUGU